AUCCCUUGGUUUGUUUUGAACAUAUAUAACUGUUCAGUUGUGAAAGUAAUUUAGAUGGGCAGAUGCUCUGUUUUCUCUGUUAAACAUUUUCAAGAAUCUGUCAUGGGCUUGGGAAGAGCUAGGUUGGAUUUCUGCGAGACUGAAGCCUCUGUUCAUUUCCUUAAGUGUAGCAGCAAAAGCAGUGGUAGUGUAAGCUUACUUCUAAUGACCAGCUUGAGCUGAUCCUGAUACCAAAGUAGCUGCGUGUUGAGUGCUGCCCCUCCGACGGGGCUGAGGCUGCUCCAGAGGAGUCGCUGAUUAUUUAUGUGACAUGGACAACUCUGACCACUGCUCUUCAAACAGUCUGUUGACAGAAGUCUGAGCACACAGCUCCUGGGCCACACAGGUCAGGUGUUUGUGGAGCAGGCAGCCUGGUGGAGGUAUCUCCAUAAAGUAGUGUAUGUCAGGAAAAGUAGGCUUUUAAAACUGUCGUUUAAACAAAUAGCAAUUUUUUUAAACGCAUUAUGAUGCUUAAAGAAUUUCAGUGAACUAACUUGGUGUUUCAAUGGUAUUAUGAGAGCUUAGCUUCUGCUAUGCUUACAGAUUUAUGGUGGAAGAAAUUGCAUUAUUGAUUGCAUUAUAUAAAAGAGAAAGCUUUUGUACUGCCUUGCUAUUGCAUUAUGAUUUAAAAUUGUUUCCCAAAGCUUGUGGACUGCAGACAUGAAGCUCACAAAAGCUUAUAACCUUUCUUCCUCAGGUUUCUGGUUCUAAUGAGAAAUGAUUUUCAGUCUUUCAGUGUAAGCUAUCCCUUUUGUAUAAGAAACAGUGUUUGGAAAAUGCUAUGUAGAGCUUGUGAUUCAGGGCUGAACAAUACAGAGGAUCAAAAGGUCUUUUUUUAAAAGUGGGGCAUGACCAGACCUUUUUGUUUAGUUCAUAUGACAAUGAUAAACCAGUCAGGGAUUUAUUUAAAGAACAUGAAGCACUGACUGGUUUUGGGUUUUUUUUUUUGUAACCAGUAUGCUUCAAAGGCUGGCUUAGCAAGAUUUGAGAGAUUUCUAAGACAGGUGGUGUUCAUCAUUUGAAGAUUAUGAAGGUUCUUUGAUCAAAUAGUGGAGCAGUGAGUUGCCAGUAAGUUUUUUGUUGAAUGUAAUUUUUGCACAAAACUUUUGGAAUUGAAAUUGAGGAUGCCAGAGAUAUUCCAGCUCAUUCCAGCAUGGAGGUGGGUAUGACACAAGACUAGUUAUGUAUUUUCAUUUGAGCUAUCUGAGAUACAAAUGAAGUGCUUCAGAUGUGGAAUGUUUUAGUUACUGGUAACUAAACCAAAUGACUGAAUAUUUUAUUUCUGUAUUACUUAACUCGUGCAAUUUUCAUUACUUCACUUUAGUUUUCCUCCACAAGUGAGUGCCUUUUAAGCUGUCACUGUGUGAAGUAAUUUAGCAACCUGUGUCUAGAAGAUCCAGGCCAUAAAUUUUAAGCACAAGGUUGCAGCUAUUAGUGAGACUAAAAAUCUAUGAAGAAUUGAAAUAUCUUGGUUGCCUGUGUUGUCCAGCUGAUUAUUUGAUUGUAGUUUCUGGAAUUACAGAGUCUAUAUUGAGUCAAGUACCAAGUGUAGUCCAGAACCAAAUGAUGUUUUGUUGUUUCAGAAGUUUUAACUGUUCAUUAAAUCAGUAGUGCAUUGUGGCUGAUGUAGACCUGUGUUGAUGCUGUACUAUGAAAUGAAGAGGGUCUUGUGGGGUUUAUCUGCAUGAUUUUGCAUAUCCCAAUGUCAGAGUGAUUCCUUGUUUAAAAAAAAAAUUCUCUUUGUUUUCAAAAUAGAAAUUAGAGUAAUUUAUAUCAAGGGAAUAAUUCUAAUAUAUGUGUGUGAUAUAAGGUAAAAUAUACAUAUACUAUGUAUAAAUUUGUUCAACCAUUCUGUCUAAAAGAAUGGCAUUUCAACUGUAGGCAGUUCUCAAUUCUUCUGGAGGAUUUUCCUCUGCUGGAAUCAACUUAACUGUGAAUCUCAAAAGCAAAAAGAAAUUCUGAAAAUAAAAUUUAUUCUGAAAAGCUGCUGUUGUGCUGUGGCUGAUGAGCAGGGAUGGUUAUGGGUGUAGCCAUGUCCUGAUUCAUUGACUGUCAGUCACUGACUUUUGUUCACCGACAGAAGCAGAAGCAGGAAUGGACAGGAGGAUGAAGUACCUGGCUGGGAGCCAGAAACCCUCAAGAGGUGCAUCCAUUUCCUGCACAAACUCCAGCCUUUGUAGCAGUUCAGUAGCAAUUGAAGUACAUACAAAAAUCAGCCACUCAGCAUUUUUUGCUGUGCUAGUCUGGAGGUUGGGGUGCACUUCUGUAAAAAAUCUAGUGCUGCUGACUGGUUUGGUGAUUGCUUUCUGGAUUGUUGAAUUAGAAAGGGUUUAGCCUGCAGAUCAGCUCUGGUAUUUGUCACUGCUGAAUGAAAAAGGAUGAGCUAUUCCUGACAAUGCUUCUAACUUUUUCUUUGUGUGACUCUCCGUACUUUAUAUUUCCUGGGUCGGUUUGAGUAAUCUCUGUUUUAUUGCAGGAACUGAUUAUAAGCAGGGACAACAAGAGUAGCUGUGCUUAUUUGUGCAAAGGAAAAGGAGUAGAGUUACACGUCUCACUGUUUUUGUCAGGAGAGCAUGAGAAAUUUUGUUACCUAAAGAAGGACUUGGGUGGGAGCUGAAGAGAAUGAAUGGUGGGAUGGAGCCUGUGAAGUCUGUUGGGAUUGGUUUUUGUAUUAUUGGCUGUGGCUUUCACAUGGUUUUGAUGUGCACCUGCACGUGAAUGGCAGCAGAGAUGUUGCAGGCUUGAAAGGACAAAGGUGAGUGUUUGUGCUGGUGAUGGAUCGAUGCCAUUUCCCUGCCAGGAGCAAGUGCCACUGUCCCAGGAGUGGGAAAGCCAAAGUGCAGGAAGUGGAUGAAAAAUGGUUCUGAAAAGAAGUAGGGAAUUUUGCUGCUUUUGCACUCUGUUCUGAUUUGGAUGUGGAAAUAAAGUAAGAAAU